rnacentral:lncRNA from 1 species
CUUAAAUAAAACAAAGCCUUAAUAAUUUAUAAGAUGUAUGAAUGAAUUGGGGGAAAAUAAUUUCCCUGAAAUUAAGUAGGCCAAAUUGAACGAGUAGCAUGAGUGAAAGCCCCCAAGAAAUGAUACAGGUACAUAUAUAUAUAUAGUUAAAAUAAAAAUAAAAAAUAAUUCAAUAUACCAUUUAAAAGAAUAAGUACUUGAAUAUAAUUUCAUGUAUGAAAAUGAAAACAAACAAAAUAAAAUAACUACAAUACUAAAAUAAUGAACAAAAUGUAGUUCUAGGGACUCCAUUGAUGUAGAACAAAACAUGUAUAAGAAUUAGGAACGACACAUUCUGCUUGUGCUUUGCAAACAGUUGUUGGAUCAGUUCGAAUGUAACGUUUAUAUCAAUCAAAUGACCAUCUACCUAAAGUCUGGAUAAUGUGAUCCUCAACCCCUGCUGCUGCUGCUGAUGUAGCAGCACCAAUUCGAAAGGAAUGACCACAAAAUUUACUAUCAUUAUACCCUAAUCUGAACAGCAAAUCUCUAAGCAGAGAUAUAAAUGUAUCUCUAGACAAAGGAGCGUAUAUUACACAUCACUAACGAAUAAAUAGGAAUCUGGUCUAGCUCCCUAAUUUUUUCGUACUUGUAAAUGUCAUCGCAUCA